rnacentral:rRNA from 3 species
AAAUUGAAGAGUUUGAUCAUGGCUCAGAUUGAACGCUGGCGGCAGGCCUAACACAUGCAAGUCGAACGGUAACAGGAAGCAGCUUGCUGUUUCGCUGACGAGUGGCGGACGGGUGAGUAAUGUCUGGGAAACUGCCUGAUGGAGGGGGAUAACUACUGGAAACGGUAGCUAAUACCGCAUAACGUCGCAAGACCAAAGAGGGGGACCUUCGGGCCUCUUGCCAUCGGAUGUGCCCAGAUGGGAUUAGCUUGUUGGUGGGGUAACGGCUCACCAAGGCGACGAUCCCUAGCUGGUCUGAGAGGAUGACCAGCCACACUGGAACUGAGACACGGUCCAGACUCCUACGGGAGGCAGCAGUGGGGAAUAUUGCACAAUGGGCGCAAGCCUGAUGCAGCCAUGCCGCGUGUAUGAAGAAGGCCUUCGGGUUGUAAAGUACUUUCAGCGGGGAGGAAGGGAGUAAAGUUAAUACCUUUGCUCAUUGACGUUACCCGCAGAAGAAGCACCGGCUAACUCCGUGCCAGCAGCCGCGGUAAUACGGAGGGUGCAAGCGUUAAUCGGAAUUACUGGGCGUAAAGCGCACGCAGGCGGUUUGUUAAGUCAGAUGUGAAAUCCCCGGGCUCAACCUGGGAACUGCAUCUGAUACUGGCAAGCUUGAGUCUCGUAGAGGGGGGUAGAAUUCCAGGUGUAGCGGUGAAAUGCGUAGAGAUCUGGAGGAAUACCGGUGGCGAAGGCGGCCCCCUGGACGAAGACUGACGCUCAGGUGCGAAAGCGUGGGGAGCAAACAGGAUUAGAUACCCUGGUAGUCCACGCCGUAAACGAUGUCGACUUGGAGGUUGUGCCCUUGAGGCGUGGCUUCCGGAGCUAACGCGUUAAGUCGACCGCCUGGGGAGUACGGCCGCAAGGUUAAAACUCAAAUGAAUUGACGGGGGCCCGCACAAGCGGUGGAGCAUGUGGUUUAAUUCGAUGCAACGCGAAGAACCUUACCUGGUCUUGACAUCCACGGAAGUUUUCAGAGAUGAGAAUGUGCCUUCGGGAACCGUGAGACAGGUGCUGCAUGGCUGUCGUCAGCUCGUGUUGUGAAAUGUUGGGUUAAGUCCCGCAACGAGCGCAACCCUUAUCCUUUGUUGCCAGCGGUCCGGCCGGGAACUCAAAGGAGACUGCCAGUGAUAAACUGGAGGAAGGUGGGGAUGACGUCAAGUCAUCAUGGCCCUUACGACCAGGGCUACACACGUGCUACAAUGGCGCAUACAAAGAGAAGCGACCUCGCGAGAGCAAGCGGACCUCAUAAAGUGCGUCGUAGUCCGGAUUGGAGUCUGCAACUCGACUCCAUGAAGUCGGAAUCGCUAGUAAUCGUGGAUCAGAAUGCCACGGUGAAUACGUUCCCGGGCCUUGUACACACCGCCCGUCACACCAUGGGAGUGGGUUGCAAAAGAAGUAGGUAGCUUAACCUUCGGGAGGGCGCUUACCACUUUGUGAUUCAUGACUGGGGUGAAGUCGUAACAAGGUAACCGUAGGGGAACCUGCGGUUGGAUCACCUCCUUA